UUGAAUUUGAUUGGUUACCUUCUGUGCUGGCUCCGGCAUGUGCACGUUGGUGACUUUCAUCCAAUACCCUUUUGUGAACCUUUGGCCUCAUGCUGGCUUUGCUGGCAGAGGAUUUACACAAACUCGAAUGUAACAGAAAGACCUUGUUGUGCGCAAGCACUAAUGUA
rnacentral:misc_RNA from 1 species